rnacentral:rRNA from 3 species
ACGCUGGCGGUGCGUUUUAAGCAUGCAAGUCGAACGGCAGGAAGGUGCUUGCACUUUCCUAGAGUGGCGGACUGGUGAGUAACGCGUAGGUGAUCUACCUUUAAGACUGGGACAGCCUUUAGAAAUAAGGGGUAAUACCGGAUGUGCUUAUUAUGUUUUGACGUAGUAAGGGAAGGAGCGUUUGCUCCGCUUAGAGAUGAGCCUGCGUCCCAUUAGCUAGUUGGUAAGGUAACGGCCUACCAAGGCGAUGAUGGGUAUCCGACCUGAGAGGGUGAUCGGACACAUUGGGACUGAGAUACGGCCCAAACUCCUACGGGAGGCAGCAGCUGAGAAUCUUCCGCAAUGGACGAAAGUCUGACGGAGCGACACCGCGUGAAUGAUGAAGGCCGAAAGGUUGUAAAGUUCUUUUGCAGACAAAGAAUAAGGAUAGAAGGAAAUGUCUAUUUGAUGACGGUAGUUAUGCGAAUAAGCCCCGGCUAAUUACGUGCGGGGCGAGCGUUUUCGGAAUUAUUGGGCGUAAAGGGCAUGUAGGCGGUUUAAGCCUGUGUGAAUCUACGAGCUUAACUCGUAAAUGCAUUGGGUACUGCUUGAAUCAGAGGGGAACUGGAAUUCCAAGUGUAGGGGUGGAAUCUGUAGAUAUUUGGAAGAACACCGGUGGCGAAGGCGGGUUUCUAGCAUGAUUGACGCUAUGCGAAGGUGGGGGAGCAAACAGGAUUAGAUACCCUGGUAGUCCGCACAGUCAUGUACACUAGUGGGGGUAAGACUCAGUGGGCAAACGCAUAAGUGUACCGCCUGGGGAGUAUGCCCGCAAGGUGAAACUCAAAGGAAUUGACGGGGGCCCACACAAGCGGUGGAGCAUGUGGUUUAAUUCGAUGUACGCGAGGAACCUUACCUGGGUUUGACAUAAGGAUUAUAGAGAUAUGGUAGCGUAGAUACGCUUUACAGGUGCUGCAUGGCUGUCGUCAGCUCGUGCCGUGAGGUGUUGGGUAAGUCCCGCAACGAGCGCAACCCUACUGCCAGUUACUAACAGGUAAAGUGAGGACUCGGCGGAACUGCCGGUGAUAAACCGGAGGAAGGUGGGGAUGACGUCAAGUCAUCAUGGCCCUUAUGUCCAGGGCUACACACGUGCUACAAUGGUUGUUACAAAGUGAAGCGAAGCCGCGAGGUGAGCGAAUGCAAAAGCAAUCGUAGUCGAUUGGAAUCUGAAACCUGAUUCAUGAAGCUGGAAUCGCUAGUAAUCGCUAUCAGCACGAUGCGGUGAAUACGUUCCUGGGCCUUGUACACACCGCCCGUCACACCAUCCGAGUCGAGGUACCCAAGAGCUAGUCUAACGAGGGACGGUGGCGAAGGUACGUGGUAAGGAGGGUGAAGUCGUAAC